AAUGAACGCUGGCGGCGCGCCUAAUACAUGCAAGUCGAGCGAGAAGACGUAGCAAUACGUUUGUAAAGACGGCGAACGGGUGAGGAAGUACAUGGGUAACCUACCCUCGAGUGGGGAAGUAACUAGCCGAAAGGUUAGCUAAUACCGCGUACGCUUCCUGGACUUCGGUUCAGGGAGGAAAGCGAUGCCGAGGUAUCGCGCUCUUGGAUGGGCUCAUGUCCUAUCAGCUUGUUGGNGAGGUAACGG
rnacentral:rRNA from 1 species